rnacentral:lncRNA from 1 species
UUAUUUCCAUUCAAGACCAUUUUCACUAUAAAAACAUUCAAACAUUCAUUACAACAUACAAAAAUCAAGUCUAUAUAAAUUACAUCAUUUUUGACAUAGAGUUGACUUUUGACCUACGGUUGAUUUUUUGGACUCACAGUUAACCAAAGUCAACUACCUAUCUUAAGACCUUUCUCCUUUACUUACAAGCUAUUCAAGAUUUCUUCACAUGCCAUAAACUUCUUCAUAAUUCACACCUUGAAUCCAUGUCAUGCCAUGUUCCAUGUCUUGCCAUUUGAUAACCUUUACCAAAUUCUUCAUGAUCCUUGCUAUAUCUCAAGCCUAACAAUCCAUCCCACAGCAAGUGAAAAUGAAUUAGCAUUAUGAAACUCAACCCAUACAAAUCAAAGCAUGAAUAUGACCAAUCAUCAACCUCGGGUGGAUAGCCGCUAAUAUGUUUGUCAUAGUUAUUACUAGUGAUUAGGCUAUUACCAAAAUUUCCAUCAUUCGGUUUAUUUGAUAAUCUCUUAAACAUUAUAGUAAUAGCCAAUCAAAAUUCACAAAACUAUUUCAUAAUAUAAUAAUAAUUGCUAAAUUUCUA